rnacentral:lncRNA from 1 species
CAAUAGAGAACAGAUUAGUGGUUCCCAGAAGGGACUGGGAGGAAAGUGGGUGUGGCUAUAAAAUGGCAGCCCAGGAAUCCUUGUAGUGAUGGAAUUGUUCUGUAUCUUGACUAUAUCAAUGCCCAGAACCUGAUUGUAAUAUUGUACUAUAAAGAAGAAAAAAGAAUUAAAAAGAUUGAAGAAAGCCUAUAAGAUUUAUGGGACAUAAACAAGCAACCCAGUAUAUAUAUUAUGGUAUUCCAAAGAGAACAGAGAAAGAAAAGGGCAACAGGCUUAUGUGA